rnacentral:rRNA from 1 species
CACGUAGUUAGCCGGUGCUUAUUCUUCAGGUACCGUCAUUAGCUCAGGAUAUUAGCCCGAACCGUUUCUUCCCUGACAAAAGAGCUUUACAACCCGAAGGCCUUCUUCACUCACGCGGCAUUGCUGGAUCAGGCUUUCGCCCAUUGUCCAAAAUUCCCCACUGCUGCCUCCCGUAGGAGUCUGGACCGUGUCUCAGUUCCAGUGUGGCUGGUCGUCCUCUCAGACCAGCUACUGAUCGUAGCCUUGGUGAGCCUUUACCUCACCAACUAGCUAAUCAGAUAUCGGCCGCUCCAGGAGCACAAGGUCCGAAGAUCCCCUGCUUUCAUCCUUAGAUCGUAUGCGGUAUUAGCGUAACUUUCGCUACGUUAUCCCCCACUCUUGGGUACGUUCCGAUAUAUUACUCACCCGUUCGCCACUCGCCGCCAGGUUGCCCCGCGCUGCCGUUCGACUUGCAUGUGUAAAGCAUGCCGCCAGCGUUCAAUCUGAGCCAGGAUCAAA